GACGAACGCUGGCGGCGUGCUUAACACAUGCAAGUCGAACGGGAUGAUUUAGAAGCUUGCUUUUAGAGAAUCUAGUGGCAAACGGGUGAGUAACACGUAGACAACCUGCCGACAGGAUGGGGACAACAUUCCGAAAGGAAUGCUAAUACCGAAUGAAGCGGAGGAGAGGCAUCUCUCUUCCGUGAAAGAUGGUCUCUGAACAUGCUAUCACCUGUCGAUGGGUCUGCGUCUGAUUAGCUGGUUGGUGAGGUAACGGCUCACCAAGGCGACGAUCAGUAGCCGGUCUGAGAGGAUGAACGGCCACAUUGGGACUGAGACACGGCCCAGACUCCUACGGGAGGCAGCAGUGGGGAAUCUUCCGCAAUGGGCGCAAGCCUGACGGAGCAACGCCGCGUGAGUGAAGAAGGUCUUCGGAUCGUAAAGCUCUGUUGAUGGGGACGAAUGUACGGAGUGCGAAUAG
rnacentral:rRNA from 1 species